AACGAACGCUGGCGGCAUGCCUAACACAUGCAAGUCGAACGAGACCUUCGGGUCUAGUGGCGCACGGGUGCGUAACGCGUGGGAACCUGCCCUUAGGUUCGGAAUAACUCCCCGAAAGGGGUGCUAAUACCGGAUAAUGUCUUCGGACCAAAGAUUUAUCGCCUUUGGAUGGGCCCGCGUUGGAUUAGCUAGUUGGUAGGGUAAAAGCCUACCAAGGCGACGAUCCAUAGCUGGUCUGAGAGGAUGAUCAGCCACACUGGGACUGAGACACGGCCCAGACUACUACGGGAGGCAGCAGUGGGGAAUAUUGGAAAAUGGGCGAAAGCCUGAUCCAGCAAUGACGCGUGAGUGAUGAAGGCAUUAGGGUUGUAAAGCUCUUUUACCCGGGAUGAUAAUGACAGUACCGGGAGAAUAAGCUCCGGCUAACUCCGUG
rnacentral:rRNA from 1 species